GACGAACGCUGGCGGCGUGCUUAACACAUGCAAGUCGAACGAUGAAGCCGGAGCUUGCUCUGGUGAAUUAGUGGCGGACGGGUGAGUAACACGAGAGUAACCUGCCCUUGACUCCGGGAUAACUGCGGGCAACUGUAGCUAAUACCGGAUACGACCCUCGGAGGCAUCUCCCGGGGGUGGAAAGAAUUUCGGUCAAGGAUGGACUCGCGGCCUAUCAGCUAGUUGGGGGGGUAAAGGCUCACCAAGGCGACGACGGGUAGCCGGCCUGAGAGGGUGACCGGCCACACUGGGACUGAGACACGGCCCAGACUCCUACUGGAGGCAGCAGUGGGGAAUAUUGCACAAUGGGCGCAAGCCUGAUGCAGCAACGCCGCGUGAGGGAUGACGGCCUUCGGGUUGUAAACCUCUUUUAGCAGGGAAGAAGCGAAAGUGACGGUACCUGCAGAAAAAGCACCGGCUAACUACGUGCCAGCCGCCGCCGUAA
rnacentral:rRNA from 1 species